AUUGUUACAGGGCUAUCACUGAUCAGAUUAGCAACAGUGAUGUCCUGGAGCAGCCUCUUAUCUCAUUACAAGACACUUCGUGCUGGUGCCCCUUUGCACGCGAAUGUCUAAUCCAAGAGUUGCCUCAUUCGAUAGACUAUCUCUCGAUCAGGAAGAUAAUGAUGCUUCAAAUCUUCAAUAAGACAAACCUAAACCAGUAAGAGCAUCUUGGCAUCUCGUAGCUAGGGCCUAGGAGACCUUGUAUGGUGGCUGAAAAUGCUUCAAGAGUCGAAACCAAUGUGCUUGCUCCCUUUUUCUUUCUUUUGAACUGUAUGUGUACUCCUUGGUAUAGCAAUAUAGUAGCUAGAUUGUGCGCACUACAUGGAACAAUAGUGAAAAAAACAGUAUGUUUUAAGAUUAAACCAAGUUAUCCAGUAGAAAGAAAAACUUCUAAAAAGCAACAAAGAACACUGUGCUUCCCAGCAAAGAUGCACAGUAUAAAAUAUGUCAAUAAACACAAAAAAUAAAAUCAGAAUAAUAGAAAAAAACAAACACCAGAACAGUAAACAUGCAGCAACCUUCAACCAUUCUCAAAUUAAAUUCAUUCUAGCCAUUAUCAUUCUCGACAUAAAAAUACAAUGAUUGACUAGGUAGUACAUUCUAGAGCCAACAAAGCCAAAAAAACAAUAAAAAAACAAUCUUGUUUUUCAAGAAACCCAUCA
rnacentral:lncRNA from 1 species